GAUGAACGCUGGCGGCGUGCCUAAUACAUGCAAGUCGAGCGAACAGAUGAUGAGCUUGCUCCUCUGACGUUAGCGGCGGACGGGUGAGUAACACGUGGAUAACCUACCUAUAAGACUGGGAUAACUUCGGGAAACCGGAGCUAAUACCGGAUAAUAUAUUGAACCGCAUGGUGCAAUAGUGAAAUACGGCUUUUCUGUCACUUAUCGAUGGAUCCGCGCCGCAUUAGAUAGUUGGUACGGUAACGGCUUACCAAGGCAACGAUGCGUAGCCGACCUGAGAGGGUGAUCGGCCACACUGGAACUGAGACACGGUCCAGACUCCUACGGGAGGCAGCAGUAGGGAAUCUGCCGCAAUGGGCGAAAGCCUGACGGAGCAACGCCGCGUGAGUGAUGAAGGUCUUCGGAGCGUAAAACUCUGUUAUUGGGGAAGAACAAAUGUGUAAGUAACUAUGCACGUCGUGACGGUACCUAAUCAGAAAGCCACGGCUAACUACGUG
rnacentral:rRNA from 1 species